rnacentral:rRNA from 1 species
GAUGAACGCUGGCGGCGUGCUUAACACAUGCAAGUCGAACGAUGAAGCCCAGCUUGCUGGGUGGAUUAGUGGCGAACGGGUGAGUAACACGUGAGUAACCUGCCCUUAACUCUGGGAUAAGCCUGGGAAACUGGGUCUAAUACCGGAUAGGAGCGUCCACCGCAUGGUGGGUGUUGGAAAGAUUUAUCGGUUUUGGAUGGACUCGCGGCCUAUCAGCUUGUUGGUGAGGUAAUGGCUCACCAAGGCGACGACGGGUAGCCGGCCUGAGAGGGUGACCGGCCACACUGGGACUGCGACACGGCGCAGACUCCUACGGGAGGCAGCAGUGGGGAAUAUUGCACAAUGGGCGCAAGCCUGAUGCAGCGACGCCGCGUGAGGGAUGACGGCCUUCGGGUUGUAAACCUCGUUCAGUAGGGAAGAAGCGAAAGUGACGGUACCUGCAGAAGAAGCACCGGCUAACUACGUG